rnacentral:rRNA from 1 species
UACGUAGGGAGCAAGCGUUGUCCGGAAUCAUUGGGCGUAAAGCGCGCGUAGGUGGCUUCGUAAGUCCGUUGUGAAAGUCAAAGGCUCAACCUUUGAAAGCCGAUGGAUACUGCGGAGCUAGAGUACGGAAGAGGCGAGUGGAAUUCCUGGUGUAGCGGUGAAAUGCGCAGAUAUCAGGAAGAACACCAGCGGCGAAGGCGGCACUCUGGGCCGGUACUGACGCUGAGGAGCGAAAGCGUGGGUAGCAAACAGG